UACGGAGGGUGCGAGCGUUGUCCGGAAUCACUGGGCGUAAAGGGCGCGUAGGCGGCCCGUCAAGCGUGUGGUGAAAGCCCGGGGCUCAACCCCGGGUCGGCCGUGCGGACUGGCGGGCUCGAGCACUGUAGGGGCGGGUGGAAUUCCGGGUGUAGCGGUGGAAUGCGUAGAGAUCCGGAGGAACACCAGCGGCGAAGGCGGCAUCCUGGACUGGUCCUGACGCUCAUGAGCGAAAGCGUGGGGAGCGAUCCGG
rnacentral:rRNA from 1 species